AGAAUAUGCAAUUCAAUUAGAAUUCCAAUUGGCCAUCAGUAUAUGCAACAACUCACCUGUAAAUUGGAUCGACUGCACAUAUCCUAUAAAGGGCAUACAUGCAGUAAACAAAUACUACAGUGCACUGACUAAUAUCAACACAAACGCACUUAACUAAACUAGCGGCACUACUCGAUGUUUGGGACGCGGAGUCUUCUCAGCUACUUCUUCUUGUACCACUGGAUGAUAUACUGCAAAGAAAAACAAAAAAUAUUAAGUAUCAACACUCUUAUUUACAUUUGCAUAAUUAACAUAACCUUGCAGUUAGCUUGCUUUCACACACAUCUCUGCCUUGUAGUGCACAUACUCUCUAGUACUUGGUAGUAAGCUGCUGCAAUUUGUAAAAACAAUGAAUUAAUUAAUAUUCAAUUAUUAAUGCUUUUAUUAGUAUUCUUAUUAGAAACUAUACUUUCCAGUUGCAAUUUUGCAAUUAAUGCACUUCACUUUUCGCACCAUAUGCUUAUACAACAUAUGUUUUGUCUUUGCAUAUCGAUAGACAUAUAAACGCAGUGAUGCACUAUCACUUUCACGAUCGCACUUGCGAUGUAUCUAAUAAAUUUUAACUAAAUUAAAUAUGCUAAAAUGAAAAGAAAAACCCAUUGAAAAUCAAAUAUUGAAAGGAAAACAACUAUUACUAUUAAUUAUAUUACUCUUAUACUACUAAUACUAUAUUUAGCUUAAACAACCUAUGGGGAAAAUGACUAGACUUUGUCUUGAAUUUUCUCUUUGAAUUGAAUGGCGGCAUUAUGGCAGCUAAUUGAUCUGCGCAUCUCAUAGAUGCAGCUGAAAAUGAAUUUAAUUAUAUUAACUCAUUAGUUUACAACUAGCAAUUUAAGCAUAUCAAUGUCAUCUACUUCUGAUCUGCUCUUUUAUACGUACACAUAUAUCACAAUGGUGCACUGCUAUCUUUUGUUGCGCUUGUGGCCAUUUAAACUAAUCAUAGUUUCGCAAAAUAUCGACCGAAUGUAUAUUCUUUAAAGAUAUCUUUUAGGCGCAAUUUUAAUUCUAAGAAAAUACUAUUGUCAAAGUAUUGUAUGAAUAAAGAGCAUCUCUAUUUUCUCUCUUCCUCUUCAUCUAGCUGAUUGACAGCUAAUAUGAAUGAGACUAAAGGGAAUAUGAGAUCAUUAAUGUGUGUUCUGUCAAGGCAUACAAACAGAAAAA